rnacentral:snoRNA from 1 species
UCCUUCGGUUCGUACGUGUGAUGAUUGGGGGGUCCUGCUCUUGUCUGAGAUGUGCCUCCCUCUAAACCUUGUUAUGACAUCAGCACAUUACCCAUCUGAC